rnacentral:tRNA from 1 species
GCCUGGGGGGCUCAGUUGGUUGAGCAUCUGACUUCAGCUCAGAUCAUGAUCUCACAGUUCGUGGGUUUGAGCCCCGCGUCGGGCU